UCAAAAUAUCCCAAAUCAAAAUUAGGGUUUUACAUUUCUUCCCCAAAUCAAAAUCAGAUUCCAUAAUGGCAACAGAAACAUGCCGAGAUGAGGCCGAUUUAAAAAAAUAAGAUAAUAACGGUUCGCAGUUCGGAAGGUUUUGAACACACAAUUGAUAUGGCGUCUGCCAUGGAGGCGAAAAGUUUAGAAUUCUAUGCCGAGUUUCGACUUAAAAUAGAACACCCAAACCAUAUUCUCGGACAAGUUCUUUCCUUCUUAGAGAAAAUUAGAGAGAUUAAAGAAACCGGAAACGAUGAGGAAUUGAAAGAGUUUUAUUCUGAUUUUCUGAGUCAGAAUCAGAAGCAAGGCUGCCUUUAUGGUCUUCUUGAUGCUGCUUACGAUCUGCGUAUAAAAAGCCUCUGGGAACUGAUGAGUAAAGUUGUAGCUGACAUGGUUACUGGGAAGACUAAUAAAGAGAUUUCUAAAAUCUUCAAGCUGGAGAAUGAUAUAACUCCUGAAGAGAUGGGACACAGAAGAAAUGAAGUUUGGGAAUUUAAGUAAAUUAUGCCUCAAGAUGCAGUGGUACAAUUGAAGCUUGGAUUUUGAUUAUAUAAUGUAUGUCCCAAGUCGAAGUGACGAAGUAUUAUAUAUUGUGGAUAUCUGGUGGUUCAGAUGCUUGUUGUGGAUUAAUUUUCUAUCUAAAAAUGUAAAUACCAUAAUAGACUACAUUAGAUCUGAAAUUAAACAAAAGAGAAGACUAAAGGAUGAAAAGAUGAGGAAGAGAGGCCAAAAGGGUUGAAGUUUGGAAGAGGAGAUAAAUUAACCCCACCAACAUAGGCAAUUAUGGUUACGGAUGGGCAUGAGACUGGUACCAUCUCGUACCGGUACUGACCCCGAAAGUCACAAAAACACCGUACCGAUCCCGGUCCUAUUUGAAUUGGUACCGAACAAGAACGGAACUGGGAUAUUAGUACCAUUUCCCGUGAAGUCCUGAUUACGAAACUCAAGUCAUUGUAUUCGUUCCAAAAUCAGUGUAGCUUUUACUUUGUAAAGGGGCUUGAAGUUCCAACAACUUAGGCUGCUGUGGCAAGAAGAUAUCUCUAAAAACAAAACAGAUUGCUUAUCUCUGAUCUAAUGAGCUGAAACUACUCACUUGGUUUCCCUUUAACUUCAGGCUUGUGCUUCAUUGGAACCAAGUUAUCAGCCUCCAGUCACAUUUGUUGUGGUUCAAAAAUGUCAUCACACUCGAUUGUUUGCCAACAACCACAAAGAUCAUAAUUCUGUGGACAGUAGUGGAAAUAUACUGCCAGGCAUAGUGGUUGAUUCCAAGAUUUGCCAUCCUACGGAGGUUGAUUUUUAUUUGUGCAGCCAUGCUGGCAUUCAGGUAAUAUUGGUACAAGCCGUCCUGCCCAUUACCAUGUUUUAUUGGACGAGAACAACUUUUCGACUGGUGACCUGCAAUCACUCACAUAUAAUCUCUGCUAC